AUUGAACGCUGGCGGCAUGCCUUACACAUGCAAGUCGAACGGCAGCACGGACUUCGGUCUGGUGGCGAGUGGCGAACGGGUGAGUAAUGCAUCGGAACGUGCCAUUGAGUGGGGGAUAACGUAGCGAAAGUUGCGCUAAUACCGCAUAUUCUGUGAGCAGGAAAGCAGGGGACCGCAAGGCCUUGCGCUCUUUGAGCGGCCGAUGUCAGAUUAGCUAGUUGGUGAGGUAAAGGCUUACCAAGGCGACGAUCUGUAGCGGGUCUGAGAGGAUGAUCCGCCACACUGGAACUGAGACACGGUCCAGACUCCUACGGGAGGCAGCAGUGGGGAAUUUUGGACAAUGGGGGCAACCCUGAUCCAGCCAUGCCGCGUGAGUGAAG
rnacentral:rRNA from 1 species